ensembl:lncRNA
GUGUGUGUGUGUGUGAGAGAGUGAGUGUGUGUGUGUGUGUGUGUGAGUGUGUGUGUGUGUGUGUGUGUGUGUGUGUGUGUGUGUGUGUGUGUGUGUGAGUGAGUGAGUGAGUGUGUGAGUGAGUGAGUGAGUGAGUGAGUGAGUGAGUGUGUGUUGUGUGUGUGUGUGUGUGUGUGAGUGAGUGUGUGUGUGAGUGAGUGUGUGAGUGAGUGAGUGAGUGAGUGAGUGAGUGAGUGUGUGAGUGAGUGAGUGAGUGAGUGAGUGAGUGAGUGUGUGUGUUAGUGAGUGAGUGAGUGAGUGUGUGAGUGAGUGAGUGAGUGUGUGUGUGUGUGUGUGUGUGAGUGAGUGAGUGAGUGGUGUGUGUGUGUGUGAGUGAGUGAGUUUGUGAGUGAGUGAGUGAGUGAGUGAGUGAGUGUGUGUGUGUGUGUGUGUGUGUGUGUGUGUGUGUGUGUGUUAGUGAGUGUUUGUGUGUGUG